rnacentral:lncRNA from 1 species
AUGCAACCGAUGAUCUGCGAGGGUUGGUUCGGUACUUUGGCACAUUGGCAUCUGUGGUCACCUACGCUUGGCAUCUAUGGUCACCUACUCUUGGCACGUUGGCAUCUGUGGUCACCUACGCUUGGCAUCUGUGGUCACCUACGCUUGGCACCAUCUUCCGUGUGGAACGCUUCUACUUCUGGGUUGCUCACUCUUGGAAACACCAGGGCAGGGGACGUAGCUCGGGUGAGCCACUCGCUUCGUUCACUGCGUUCGCAUGAUGGUGGGGAUCGGCACAGCCUCUGACAGGACUCUCGGACGAUGCAAGCAGGCGGCUACGCGAGGAUGGAGUAGCUGGAUGGUCAAUCUCGAGGAACAGGAACCAGUCGCGGCAGCAUCUUCAUUGUUUUGUAUUUUGUAAAAAUGUAUUUUGUUUGUUUGUUUGUAACAUUUUUGUAAAAUUUAAGAGUUUAGACAAGGGGGAAAAAAAUUUUUAAAUCUAUUAGUAACCCUAAUUUUAUAGGACUUUAGGCAGGGGGAAGUUAGAGAUAGACUGAUAUCGGCUGGUGGUCCUCGGAAAGCUUAUCCCUGAUGUAUUUGUUUCUGUCGCUAAAGGGCGUCUCAUCUAGACCUGAGUCAAGUUCAGAGAGUGGAGUUGUGUCAUUUUUUUUUGUUUUUUGGUAAAGAGAGGGGAUGUAGUGGGAACGCUUAAGUCUUUACAGGCUUAAGUUCCCCACAUUCAGCUGCAUAGACGAGGCGUGCUUUGCGUCAUGGCUUUUCGUGAGAAAUCACGGAUUUCCAGGGCCAGCGAUGGAGAUAGGUUCGUCGGAAGUUAGCGCUUGUUUAUGUCUAAACGUGAAGCCUCAGUGUCGCGGAAGUGCACACGUUUAGACAUAAAAAGAUUCGGUGACCGCUGGGCGAGAUCAGUCCGUCGAAAUAGAUUUCGCAGAUGAUCCGGAGAAUCCCCCGUAAGAGGCCGUUUUUGUGAAAGCCAGACCGUAUAGAUACGGUACUAGAGCUUAGUAUUUUCGUUGUGAUCUUUUCAGCCAGACCGUAUAGAUACGGUACUAGAGCUUAGUAUUUUCGUUGUGAUCUUUUUGUGGUUAUAUAUAUAUAUAUUUAUUCCUAUCCAUUCGUGUGCGGUAUCUGUUUCCCCACCCCCCCGCAACAAUACCUCGCCGCGCCACCGAGAUCAGGCCCACCAAAUCCGCCACCCGGAUUAAAAGUGUUUUUCAUCCUAAUUUUAGGUGAUCAAAUAUCUCUACUGAUAAGUACUUAUGACAUAGAACAUUAAAGCUAAAGCAUCUGCCUCAUUGUCAUCUUUGGGCGAAAGACCUUUUUUCUUUACAGCUUCAAUAACACUAAUCUUACUUGCGUUACCGUUGCCUGUUAUAAAUUUUUUUAUAGUUUUUACAGGCACACCUUUAUUUGGUACGCCAUGUUCUUCACACCAACCGGUAAGAAUAGAAGAGAAACCUCCGUAGCAAUGCGCUGCAUCAGUUCCUCGAUGUCCCCUAACCUCUUCAAAAUACACUACAGAAAUUUUUUGCACAGAACACUCAUUGAGCCACUU